UCCCUAUCUGCCGUGGGUGUAGGAUACUUGAGAGGAGUUGCCCCUAGUACGAGAGGACCGGGGUGAACGAUCCACUGGUGGACCAGUUGUCGUGCCAACGGCAGUGCUGGGUAGCUAUGAUCGGACAGGAUAACCGCUGAAGGCAUCUAAGCGGGAAGCCCCCCUCAAAACAAGGUAUCCCUGAGGGCCGUGGAAGACCACCACGUCGAUAGGCCGGAGAUGUAAGCAUGGUAACAUGUUCAGUUGACCGGUACUAAUGGCCCGAUAGGCUUGAUUUGAUCCAG
rnacentral:rRNA from 1 species